rnacentral:rRNA from 1 species
GAUGAACGCUGGCGGCGUGCCUAAUACAUGCCAGUCGAACGAAACUUCUUUAUCACCGAGUGCUUGCACUCACCGAUAAAGAGUUGAGUGGCGAACGGGUGAGUAACACGUGGGCAACCUGCCCAAAAGAGGGGGAUAACACUUGGAAACAGGUGCUAAUACCGCAUAACCAUAGUUACCGCAUGGUAACUAUGUAAAAGGUGGCUAUACUACCGCUUUUGGAUGGGCCCGCGGCGCAUUAGCUAGUUGGUAGGGUAAAGGCUUACCAAGGCAAUGAUGCGUAGCCGAAUUGAGAGGUUGAUCGGCCACAUUGGGACUGAGACACGGCCCAAACUCCUACGGGAGGCAGCAGUAGGGAAUCUUCCACAAUGGGCGAAAGCCUGAUGGAGCAACGCCGCGUGGGUGAAGAAGGUCUUCGGAUCGUAAAACCCUGUUGUUAGAGAAGAAAGUGCGUGAGAGUAACUGCUCACGUUUCGACGGUAUCUAACCAGAAAGCCACGGCUAACUACGUG